UACCUUGUAAAUCAUGAGGUUCUCUUGUAAACUGUAACAGAUUAUAAUUAUAGAAAACAAUCUAAUGUCUACAGUUACGAUGAGUAUUUUUAUUUUUGUUACAUUUCAUCUAUUUCUUUAUUUCCCAGCAGUAUUGGGCUUCCAUACUUCGUCUAACAAUGAUAUUGAAAAAGUGUUUUUUGUUAUAAACGUGACUCAGCUACUUCCCAAACUUGCCCCUUGAUAAAAGUUAUGGUCUGACCUUUGACCCUUGACCCCUCACAGCCGCGGCAGCGAGCACGAGCGUUGUUCCCGCAGCGAGGAGGAUUUUUACUACACGGAGGUGAAACCAGUGGGACCCGCAGUCCCCCCCCCACACUCUCCCCUUCGGCCCCGCAUCCCCCCCCUCCUCACCUCCCAGCACCCCACAUCCCUCCCCUUCGUCUCCCCCUCCUCCCGCCUGCAGCGCCCUGAGUCGCUCCGCCCCCUCCUCCUCCGGCAGCUUCAUGCAGGUCCAAUCAGAACACUCCUACCAGGCUCCAGCUGUCGGUCACGUGAUGUCAGCAGCAGCUUCGAACACGCCCACCUGUCGCUGGAUGCCCCCCCCCACCAGCUGUCCCACACCGGUAAAUCGAGACUAAAUCAUAAGUCUUCAUCCGUGUAAAGAAAACGUGUGAGAACAUCAGAGUGUGUAACUGUGUGUGUGUGUGUUUGUAACUGUGUGUGUAGAUUUAAACUCUCCACAGCUACAUUACAUAACGCCUCAUGUACAUAUUAAACACUUGUAAUAUAAACUUGUGUUGAUGUGAGUCAUGAAGUGGGGAAGCUUCAUGCUGAUAUCUGUUAGUUACAUGUUUGACCCUGUUCACCUGUAGUGUGUACAACAUGUAUGACUCUGUUCACCUGUAGUGUGUACAACAUGUAUGACCCUGUUCACCUGUAGUGUGUACAACAUGUAUGAAUGUUACAAUACAUAUCUUUAAAGGAGCUUUUCUCUAAAGGAGCUUUUUCUCACACUCUUCAGCAGAAAUCUCCACUUCAGUAGCACUUACAUACACCAAACUUUCCACUUUCAUUCCUCUCUAUAUUCUGAAGCUUUGUGCAGAGGGCUUUGUUCACAUGUCACUCACAGCCAGUUCAACACUUUGCAGUAACUUUGUGUUAAUGUGCAGGAAACUCUGCAAAACUCUC
rnacentral:lncRNA from 1 species